GCUCAUUCGUUAAACACAUAUACCAAAAUUGGAACGAUACAGAGAAGAUGAGCAUGGCCCUUGUGCAGGGAUGAUAUACAAGUUAGUGAAGUGUUCCAUAUUGUU